rnacentral:rRNA from 1 species
CGUGAGCGGCGGACGGUGAGUAACGCGUGGGUAACCUGCCUCAUACAGGGGGAUAACAGUUGGAAACGGCUGCUAAUACCGCAUAAGCGCACAGUACCGCAUGGUACGGUGUGAAAAACUCCGGUGGUAUGAGAUGGACCCGCGUCUGAUUAGGUAGUUGGUGGGGUAACGGCCUACCAAGCCGACGAUCAGUAGCCGACCUGAGAGGGUGACCGGCCACAUUGGGACUGAGACACGGCCCAA